AACGCGAAGAACCUUACCUAAGCUUGACAUCCCACUGACCUCUCCCUAAUCGGAGAUUUCCCUUCGGGGACAGUGGUGACAGGUGGUGCAUGGUUGUCGUCAGCUCGUGUCGUGAGAUGUUGGGUUAAGUCCCGCAACGAGCGCAACCCUUGCCUUUAGUUGCCAGCAUUAAGUUGGGCACUCUAGAGGGACUGCCAGGGAUAACCUGGAGGAAGGUGGGGAUGACGUCAAAUCAUCAUGCCCCUUAUGCUUAGGGCUACACACGUGCUACAAUGGCUGGUACAAAGAGAAGCGAACCUGCGAGGGUAAGCGGACCUCAUAAAGCCAGUCUAAGUUCGGAUCGCAGUCUGCAACUCGACUGCGUGAAGUCGGAUUCGCUAGUAAUCGCAGAUCAGAAUGCUGCGGUGAAUACGUUCCCGGGUCUUGUACACACCG
rnacentral:rRNA from 1 species